rnacentral:rRNA from 1 species
AGAGUUUGAUCCUGGCUCAGGAUGAACGCUGGCGGCGUGCUUGACCUAUGCAAGUCGAACGUGUCUCAAGCCAAGCUUGCUUGGUGAGGGACAAGUGGCGUCCGGGUGAGUAUCACGUAGGUGACCUGCCCCGAAGUGGGGGACAACCACUGGAAACGGUGGCUAAUACCGCAUGUGGUGCAGCAUUCGUUUGCUGCAUUAAAGGUGAGGCGUAAGCCUCGCCGCUACGGGAGGGGCCUGCGGCCGAUUAGCUAGUUGGUGGGGUAAUGGCUUACCAAGGCGACGAUCGGUAGCUGGUCUGAGAGGGCGAUCAGCCACACUGGCACUGAAAUACGGGCCAGACUCCUACGGGAGGCAGCAAGGAAAUAUUGCGCAAUGGGCGAAAGCCUGACGCAGCAACGCCGCGUGGGUGAUGAAGGCCUUCGGGUCGUAAAGCCCUUUUUCUGGGGGAAGAGGAAGGACGGUACCUCAGGAAUAAGCCUCGGCGAACUACGUGCCAGCAGCCGCGGUAAAACGUAGGAGGCGAGCGUUAUCCGGAUUUAUUGGGCGUAAAGGGCGUCUAGGCGGUGCGCUAAGUUGGGCAUGAAAUCCUCUGGCUUAACUGGAGGGGGCUGUCCAAUACUGGGGCACUUGAGGGCAGGAGAGGAAAGCGGAAUUCCCGGUGUAGCGGUAAUAUGCGUAGAUAUCGGGAGGAACACCAGUGGCGAAGGCGGCUUUCUGGCCUGACCCUGACGCUGAAGCGCGAAAGCGUGGGGAGCGAACGGGAUUAGAUACCCCGGUAGUCCACGCCCUAAACGAUGGAUACUGGGUGUUGGUGGCGUUGACCCCAUCAGUGCCGAAGCGAACGCGUUAAGUAUCCCGCCUGGGGACUACGGCCGCAAGGUUAAAACUCAAAGGAAUUGACGGGGGCCCGCACAAGCAGCGGAGCGUGUGGUUUAAUUCGAUUCAACACGAAGAACCUUACCUGGGUUUGACAUGCUGGUGGUAGGAAGACGAAAGUGGACCGACCCUUCGGGGAGCCAGCACAGGUGCUGCAUGGCUGUCGUCAGCUCGUGCCGUGAGGUGUUGGGUUAAGUCCCGCAACGAGCGCAACCCUCGUCGCUAGUUGUAUUUUUCUAGCGAGACUGCCGAGAUUAACUCGGAGGAAGGUGGGGAUGACGUCAAGUCCGCAUGGCCUUUAUAUCCAGGGCUACACACACGCUACAAUGGCCGACACAGCGGGAUGCCAAGCCGCGAGGCGGAGCUAAUCCUCCAAAGUCGGUCUCAGUUCGGAUUGCAGGCUGCAACCCGCCUGCAUGAAGCUGGAGUUGCUAGUAACCGCAGGUCAGCUAUACUGCGGUGAAUACGUUCCCGGGCCUUGUACACACCGCCCGUCACGUCAUGAAAGUCGGUAACACCUGAAGCCGGUGGGCCAACCGCAAGGAGGCAGCCGUCGAGGGUGGGCCUGGCGAUUGGGACGAAGUCGUAACAAGGUA